rnacentral:rRNA from 1 species
UACCAGCUCUCCGAGUAGUGUGGAUGUUUAUUGGGCCUAAAGCAUCCGUAGCUUGCUAAGCAAGUCCCCUGUUAAAUCCACCGAUUCAAUCGGUGGAUUGCGGGGGAUACUGUUCGGCUAGGGGACGGGAGAGGCCGACGGUAUUUCCGGGGUAGGGGUGAAAUCCUAUAAUCCCGGGAAGACCACCAGUGGCGAAGGCUGUCGGCUAGAACGCGCCCGACGGUGAGGGAUGAAAGCUGGGGGAGCGAACCGGAUUAGAUACCCGGGUAGUCCCAGCUGUAAACGAUGCAGGCUAGGUGUUUGGGCGGCCACGACGCCGCUCUAGUGCCGCAGGGAAGCUGUUAAGCCUGCCGCCUGGGGAGUACGGCCGCAAGGCUGAAACUUAAAGGAAUUGGCGGGGGAGCACCACAGGGGUGAAGCUUGCGGUUU